rnacentral:rRNA from 1 species
GACGAACGCUGGCGGCGUGCUUAACACAUGCAAGUCGAACGCUGAAGCUCAGCUUUUGUUGGGUGGAUGAGUGGCGAACGGGUGAGUAACACGUGAGUAACCUGCCUCCUUCUUUGGGAUAACGCCCGGAAACGGGUGCUAAUACUGGAUAUUCACUGGUCUUCGCAUGGGGGUUGGUGGAAAGGGUUUUUCUGGUGGGGGAUGGGCUCGCGGCCUAUCAGCUUGUUGGUGGGGUGAUGGCCUACCAAGGCUUUGACGGGUAGCCGGCCUGAGAGGGUGACCGGUCAGAUUGGGACUGAGAUACGGCCCAGACUCCUACGGGAGGCAGCAGUGGGGAAUAUUGCACAAUGGGCGCAAGCCUGAUGCAGCGACGCCGCGGGAGGGAUGGAGGCCUUCGGGUUGUGAACCUCUUUCGCUCAUGGUCAAGCCGCAACAAUGGUUGUGGUGAGGGUAGUGGGUAAAGAAGCGCCGGCUAACUACGUG